rnacentral:rRNA from 1 species
GCCCCCCGAAUUGUAGUCUAGAAAGGCGCCAUCGGCCGCGUCCGCCGCUCAAAUCCCUUGGAACAGGGUAUCGGAGAAGGUGAGAAUCCUGUACCGUGGUGGAUCGCGGCCGCACGAUGCGCCCUUGCAGAGUCGGGUUGCUUGGGAUUGCAGCUUGAAUUGGGUGGUAAAUUCCAUCUAAAGCUAAAUAUUGGCUCGAGACCGAUAGCGAACAAGUACCGUGAGGGAAAGAUGCAAAGAACUUUGAAAAGAGAGUUAAAGAGUGCUUGAAAUCGGCGAGAGGAAACCCGUAUGUGCCUGGUAUCGCGCUGUCGACUCAACCGUCUCGAAUCGGUGCACUUUGUCAGCGCGGGUCCGCCGCGUCUCCGCGUGCGUCACACCAUCCCAGUAGGGCUUCGGCGAGCUGGGUGAUCGUCGCGCGCGUGGCCCCGGCGGACGGAACAGGCACAUCCGACCCGUCUAGAAACACGGACCAAGGAGUCUGACACGGAUGCGAGUACCCGGGUGGUAAGCCCGCGUGCGCAAUGAAAGUAAAGGGCGUGCCCCGCCAACCGACCUUGAUUUUCUAUGAAGGGUUUGAGUCGAGCAUCACUGUCGGGACCCGAAAGAUGGUGAACUAUGCCUGAGGAGGUUGAAGUCUGCCGAAAGGCAGAUGGAGGGCCGUAGCGAUACUGACGUGCAAAUCGUUCGUCGAACUUGGGUAUAGGGGCGAAAGACUAAUCGAACCAUCUAGUAGCUGGUUCCCUCCGAAGUUUCCCUCAGGAUAGCUUGGACUUAAGGGUUUUGU